UGGCGACCGGCGCACGGGUGAGUAACACGUAUCCAACCUGCCGAUGACUCGGGGGAUAGCCUUUCGAAAGAAAGAUUAAUACCCGAUGACAUAGUUCUUCCGCAUGGUAGAACUAUUAAAGAAUUUCGGUCAUCGAUGGGGAUGCGUCCCAUUAGCUUGUUGGCGGGGUAACGGCCCACCAAGGCAUCGAUGGAUAGGGGUUCUGAGAGGAAGGUCCCCCACAUUGGAACUGAGACACGGUCCAAACUCCUACGGAAGGCAGCAG
rnacentral:rRNA from 1 species